rfam:Methylibium petroleiphilum PM1, complete genome.
UCCCUGCUUCACCUCCCUGAGCAGGAGCCUGACCGUGUGACAGCGCCAGGCUUUCAAGCCCCGGCUUUGCCGGGGCUUUUUUAU